ACUCCUACGGGAGGCAGCAGUAGGGAAUCUUCCACAAUGGGCGCAAGCCUGAUGGAGCAACACCGCGUGAGUGAAGAAGGGUUUCGGCUCGUAAAGCUCUGUUGUUAAAGAAGAACACGUAUGAGAGUAACUGUUCAUACGUUGGCGGUAUUUAACCAGAAAGUCACGGCUAACUACGUGCCAGCAGCCGCGGUAAUACGUAGGUGGCAAGCGUUAUCCGGAUUUAUUGGGCGUAAAGAGAGUGCAGGCGGUUUUCUAAGUCUGAUGUGAAAGCCUUCGGCUUAACCGGAGAAGUGCAUCGGAAACUGGAUAACUUGAGUGCAGAAGAGGGUAGUGGAACUCCAUGUGUAGCGGUGGAAUGCGUAGAUAUAUGGAAGAACACCAGUGGCGAAGGCGGCUACCUGGUCUGCAACUGACGCUGAGACUCGAAAGCAUGGGUAGCGAACAGGAUUAGAUACCCUGGUAGGAUAGCG
rnacentral:rRNA from 1 species